rnacentral:rRNA from 1 species
CAGUCGAGCGGACAGAAGGGAGCUUGCUCCCGGAUGUUAGCGGCGGACGGGUGAGUAACACGUGGGUAACCUGCCUGUAAGACUGGGAUAACUCCGGGAAACCGGAGCUAAUACCGGAUAGUUCCUUGAACCGCAUGGUUCAAGGAUGAAAGACGGUUUCGGCUGUCACUUACAGAUGGACCCGCGGCGCAUUAGCUAGUUGGUGGGGUAAUGGCUCACCAAGGCGACGAUGCGUAGCCGACCUGAGAGGGUGAUCGGCCACACUGGGACUGAGACACGGCCCAGACUCCUACGGGAGGCAGCAGUAGGGAAUCUUCCGCAAUGGACGAAAGUCUGACGGAGCAACGCCGCGUGAGUGAUGAAGGUUUUCGGAUCGUAAAGCUCUGUUGUUAGGGAAGAACAAGUGCGAGAGUAACUGCUCGCACCUUGACGGUACCUAACCAGAAAGCCACGGCUAACUACGUGCCAGCAGCCGCGGUAAUACGUAGGUGGCAAGCGUUGUCCGGAAUUAUUGGGCGUAAAGGGCUCGCAGGCGGUUUCUUAAGUCUGAUGUGAAAGCCCCCGGCUCAACCGGGGAGGGUCAUUGGAAACUGGGAAACUUGAGUGCAGAAGAGGAGAGUGGAAUUCCACGUGUAGCGGUGAAAUGCGUAGAGAUGUGGAGGAACACCAGUGGCGAAGGCGACUCUCUGGUCUGUAACUGACGCUGAGGAGCGAAAGCGUGGGGAGCGAACAGGAUUAGAUACCCUGGUAGUCCACGCCGUAAACGAUGAGUGCUAAGUGUUAAGGGGGUUUCCGCCCCUUAGUGCUGCAGCUAACGCAUUAAGCACUCCGCCUGGGGAGUACGGUCGCAAGACUGAAACUCAAAGGAAUUGACGGGGGCCCGCACAAGCGGUGGAGCAUGUGGUUUAAUUCGAAGCAACGCGAAGAACCUUACCAGGUCUUGACAUCCUCUGACAACCCUAGAGAUAGGGCUUUCCCUUCGGGGACAGAGUGACAGGUGGUGCAUGGUUGUCGUCAGCUCCUGUCCUGAGAUGUUGGGGUUAAGUCCCGCAACGAGCGCAACCCUUGAUCUUAGUUGCCACCAUUCAAUUGGGCACUCUAAGGUGACUGCCGGUGACAAACCGCA